rnacentral:rRNA from 1 species
AUACGUAGGUGACAAGCGUUAUCCGGAUUUACUGGGCGUAAAGGGCGUGUAGGCGGUCUUGCAAGUCAGAAGUGAAAUUCCUGAGCUCAACUCGGGCGCUGCUUCUGAAACUGCAGGACUUGAGUGCUGGAGGGGAUAGCGGAAUUCCUAGUGGAGCGGUAAAAUGCGCAGAUAUUAGGAAGAACACCGGUGGCGAAGGCGACUUUCUGGACAUGUACUGACGCUGAGGUACGAAAGCGUGGGGAGCAAACAGGAUUAGAUACCCUGGUAGUCCACGCCGUAAACGAUGAGUGCUAGGUGUUGGGGGUCAAACCUCGGUGCCGCAGUUAACACAUUAAGCACUCCGCCUGGGGAGUACGUGCGCAAGCAUGAAACUCAAAUGAAUUGACGGGG